rnacentral:rRNA from 1 species
UGGGGAAUAUUGCGCAAUGGGCGAAAGCCUGACGCAGCAACGCCGUGUGAGGGAUGAAGGCUUUCGGGUCGUAAACCUCUGUCGGAAGGGAAGAACGGGCAUUGGUCUAAUAGGCCUUUGUUUUGACGGUAACUUUAGAGGAAGCACCGGCUAACUCCGUGCCAGCAGCCGCGGUAAUACGGAGGGUGCAAACGUUAUUCGGAAUUACUGGGCGUAAAGCGCACGUAGGCGGCUUUGUAAGUCAGGGGUGAAAUCCCACGGCUCAACCGUGGAACUUCCUUUGAAACGUCAGAGCUUGAAUCCUGGAGAGGGUGGCGUAAUUCCUGGUGUAGGAGUGAAAUCCGUAGAUAUCAGGAGGAACACCGGUGGCGAAGGCGGCCACCUGGACAGGUAUUGACGCUGAGGUGCGAAAGUGUGGGGAGCAAACA